UUCCAUGAGAAUCCAUACGAGAAGAUGUCGAGAAUCUUCUAGAAACACACUUAGGUGUCUCAUCCAACGUUCAAAUCCCAAAAUUCUCGGAUAGAGGUUUACGAAUUCGUACAUAGAUGGAGUAUUUUCAUUGGCUUGUGAAGAUUAUUCCCUUUCCACCAAUUUCUAUUGGCGACUUUUUGGAAUUUCGUUCAAGAAAAUCAAAAUAGAGGUACAGUUCGUUAGGGUCCGGAUCUUUUGAAUUUCAAAAAUGAACCCUCAAUUUCCUUCUAUAAGUAGCUCUCUUUAGAGAAAGAAAAAGGGAUUUUUUUGGGGAUUUUGGAAUUUUUUUCACUGGCCUCUCCUUUCCUUUAUGGGUUCUCCUCUUCUUUCUCUUUGGAGUUCAAAAUUUUAGAGGCAAAGAGUGUUCAAAAGUUUUGGGUUGAAAAUUUAGGGUUAGAGAAAAUCUUCAAAAAUUCAGAAAUACACAAAAAAAAAAAGGGUUAGAAAGGGGGCUCUCAGAGGGAAAAAAUAUUCUCUUUACGCCUAAGAAACAUACAUUCUUAGGAGGUGCAUCUGAACUGUCGAAGCAGUUGUGAGUUUUUCAGUGGUCGGAAUCCUAUAAUCAGCUUGUUAUCCCAUUUUGCUGCCCCAAAAGAGGUAAAUACACCUUUCUUUUUAAUUUUGUUGUGGUUAUCAUUUUCUUCUUCGUGGUUCCACUUCUGUUUGCUGGGAAUGACUGCUGUAGAGGCCUGGAAGGCAUAGGAUUUUCAUGUUUGAUAUAUUGUUCUACUAAAAAACUCAUUAUUGCCCGUGUUUGAUUGGUUGUCGUUCAUGCUUGAUCUCUCUUAUUUUAUUUUGUUUGAAUGUUACAGUUAGCUUUAAUGCUUCGACUUUAGAAACUAUUUUGCUGGUCUCAUAUUCGAUGUUUCUUUGUAGUUCAUAGAGUAGGAGAAUAAAAUCUUUACGUAUUUUCUAAAUUCAAAAAAAUGUUCAAAGAAUAGAUAUUAGGCAGCCUGUUCGCAUAUCUUUUUCACUCAAACGCAGGAAAUUGUUAUAAAUAAGAACUAGAAUGUUAUUUUCUUUCGACUUGCCACUUUAGAUGUACAAUAGUCUUAUUUUAUUCUAAAGUUUAUUUUAAAAUAUGAGAGUGGACCAUAGGGAUGAAUUAUGUUUUCUUCAUGGCUAAUUCAAUUUGCCGUAAUUGACUCAUGAGAACAAAUUAAAGUUUGACGGGNNNNNNNNNNNNNNNNNNNNNNNNNNNNNNNNNNNNNNNNNNNNNNNNNNNNNNNNNNNNNNNNNNNNNNNNNNNNNNNNNNNNNNNNNNNNNNNNNNNNNNNNNNNNNNNNNNNNNNNNNNNNNNNNNNNNNNNNNNNNNNNNNNNNNNNNNNNNNNNNNNNNNNNNNNNNNNNNNNNNNNNNNNNNNNNNNNNNNNNNNNNNNNNNNNNNNNNNNNNNNNNNNNNNNNNNNNNNNNNNNNNNNNNNNNNNNNNNNNNNNNNNNNNNNNNNNNNNNNNNNNNNNNNNNNNNNNNNNNNNNNNNNNNNNNNNNNNNNNNNNNNNNNNNNNNNNNNNNNNNNNNNNNNNNNNNNNNNNNNNNNNNNNNNNNNNNNNNNNNNNNNNNNNNNNNNNNNNNNNNNNNNNNNNNNNNNNNNNNNNNNNNNNNNNNNNNNNNNNNNNNNNNNNNNNNNNNNNNNNNNNNNNNNNAAUGCUAUGGCUUAUUAAUUGUUAAAAUCUUGGACGUAUGUUAAUUUCUUCAUUCCUUUCUUUUCAUUCACCCCCUUGAAGUUCAAAUGGGCCCCUUCUCUCUUGUCAUUUCAUAAAUGGGCCAAUGAGGCCUAUCCUUCCGAGUUAAUCCCAAAAGAAAAUCCAAGAAUCCAUCACAUGGUGUAUGAAUACGAGGAAUCGAAAGAAGAAUGGGUUAAAGUUCCAUCUUUGAAGCGGCAAAGGGGACUUGAAAAUCUCGUUAUUUCUUCUUUAUUAAUUUAUUUAUCCAUUGUUUCCAUUAUUUAUUUAUUUACUUAUUUAUAUUUUUGUUUAUUUAGUGAAUUAUUUAUUUAUUCAUUUGGGCCUCGAAGCCAAAGUUGUAAAUUUAAAAUAGGUGGAACGAGACUUGAGCUAUUUGCUUACUUGUUUUACGUGUGUUUUACGAACCUAGUAAAAUCCUUAGUCAAGUCGCUAAAAAACUGGUUUUGUAUAAACACCAAAAUAUUUCUAAAAUUGCUUUUCUUUUCAAAAAAUAAACUUUUUCAAAGUUAAUCAAAAGACGAUUUUCAAACAAUCCGGAUAACCAUAAGUUAGCGAACAUUUUAGAUGCCUAAUACCUUCCUAAAACGUUAAUAGGAACUGCUUAUCUAGAAUCUCUAACUUAAAACGAUUUUUCUAUUUUGAAUCGUUUGCAGUAACUCUCUAACGGUUUCUUAAUUCCUUUUCAAAAUUAAGUGGCGACUCUCAAAAAGUCAAAAAUUCCGCAAAACAAUAUCAACCACAAUCACAUCCCCACAUCUACUACCCCCACCCGAAAGUAGCAGAAGAAUAAAGGUUUGUAGUAAUUCAAUCCUCUUGACGCUUGCGCUCCUUCUCUUUUAGUUCAUUAACAAAUUUGUUAAAUAUUUCAAGCAGCAAGCCCUUAUCACCCAUUAUUCUGUAAAAUAAUAACAGCAAAGAAAUUCACAUUCAAUAGAUUACGACAUAAUGAGAAUCAUGAGAUUAUGAAUAAAAAAGUAAAAAUCCAGAGCAUUUCAUUUUAUAGCCAAAGAGGCUAGACAAAUUAAAACUAGAGAUUUAGCAGCAUACUUCAUCAGAACCGUGAAACAAUCACAAAUGCCAGAAAUUAAAAAACUAAAACAAUCACAAAUGUCAUAAAUUUAAAAACUAACUGCUAGACCUAUUAACUGCUAGAUAUCAAAACAAGAUAACCCUUGCAAUUCUCUCUUCCCACAUACAUAGAUUAUACGCCAUGACCAUAAAUAACCUCCAAAAUCCAAAUGAUAUAUGAAGAAUAUCCUCAUUACAAAAUAGAAAAUGAUCGUUGAUAUCAUCCAGUUAUGUUGUUUAACCAGUUUCGUAGAGUAAAACUCUUAUCCACUAACUGUAAAAACAGAAAACUACAAGGCAAAUUUCUUUGAAUUAAGCAACUUAAUAUAUGUACGGUAGGUGUAAUAUUAAACACCGCCGUCCAGGAAAUAAAAACUAAGGAAAAUGGUACCAAAACUGAAGAAUUGGAAGCAAAAGCUAACAUCAAAUAUUUGAUCAAUGUGGUCCUCGUCUUUAUUCUUGAAGGUUUCAGGCUUACUUGCUAACCGACACACUACUAUUCUAUUAACUCUAUUACAAGAAGAUCCAAAUUUAAUGUGGGAUAGGUUAUGGUUGAUACUAAAUAAAAAUGCCACUAACCACAGUUGACUACCUACGAGUUGCCAAUUUAGCAAUCACAAACUGACCGAAUUCCAGUGAAACAUAACAUGGAAGUACUACUAAUGCUUUUGCACUCAAUCCACUCAUCUUAUGCAGGACCUGUCCCAAAGACAAAAAGGGGACAAAUACAUAGAAAUCCAUUUAGUGACUGGGGUACUUCAAUUUUCACAACAUUUAAUUCAACAUGGGUCGAUGUGAAACAGUAUACAGUGCUUAGCCAUAAUUAGACCUUUAAGUUGGUAUCUGUCAUUAGUGGAGAGCUAAUAUACUUGUCGAUUGCAACCUUAAAAUCAUCAAGCGUCCAGGCUGAUGUCAAUCCAAUCUGAAAGUAGAGACGGCUCAGCCAAAAUAUUAGGUACUAACUGAAGCACAACAAAGGUUAAAAUGAAGAGUGGUGAUUACCUCGACCAUCCUAAUUGCAUCUUUAAUUUGUGACUUGUGAUCAAGAUACUGAAGCAACAUACAAGUAACACAAAUUCAGAAUGCUUAUAAGUAACAAAAAUAGGAUACCAAAUGGAGCUUUGUCCAUGCAUUUGAGUUACCAUAAAGUUUAUAAAUUACAAGCAGGGUGAUGGGGAUGAAAUUUCUUUCAUGAAUACCAACAUUUCUCCACUUGUUCAAAGUCAUCUACAAUAUCACAAGACACUUGACACAUAAACUUAAUUGCACUGAUCAGGUUAAAUUGAAGGAAAAAUCAAGCACCCCUGUUUGGAUAAUAGAAAAAAAGUGAAUAAAUAAAAAUGGAUAGCAUCUCUGUUAACAGCGCUUUCGUUAUAUUUACUUAAUAAGAAUCAUUUAUGCACACAAACAGUAAUACAAACUUUAAAGAUAGAAGUUGACAUCUUUAUCUUACAAGGGAAAAAGAAAAGAUUUUCCGCAUCUGAGUUUAUGUAUAACUCUCACCAUCCCAUAGCAAGAGCCUAACUCAAGAAAACAUUACCAAAUUCAAUCACUGAAUAAGAGUACGAACAAGAUCAUUACCAUGCUAGGAUACCAGGUAAACUCCCUCUUUCAUCAAGCAAGGAGAUAAAUGCUAAUAACAUUUGAUCAUUCAACUUCAAUUCUUUUCGGAAAGGGCAGAGGAUGAAACAAUAUAUCGUUUAGUUAGGCGCAAGUGUGUAUUACGGCAAAAAAAAAUCAUAGUGAGGGAGAUGCAACUUUAUUUAGAGAAACAGAGAUGCUCUCAGGUUCUUUUUCCGAGGCUAAUCUUUUCUAAGCCUUUACUUUCAUUACAUCUCAACUACCUCUUCAGAGGCGAAUUCUGGCACUAAGUUUAUUUAGUCCAAUUUAUAUGGUUGAUAACACAAUAUUUUGAAUUAGGUUUUAAGUUGCACGAUAUCAUCCGAAGUUAAAUCAAAACUGGGGUGUGGUACAAAUGGACAAAACAUGGUCGAAACUUGACCAGACAAACUACUUUCAGGUCUCAUUUGUUUGCACUUAUUGGAUUUAUGAACCUGUUCAGACCUCAAACCAUUAAGUGCAUUUAUUUUUUUAGGAUUUUAGCUCUUAAUAGGUCUGAGUAGGUCUUAAUCAUUCAGAUGUGGAACCAAGUCUAAAUAUCAUUUACAGAUAUUCUUGUGUAGGAUAAAAUUCACCACUACUCUAUCCACAAUCACUUGCCACCACCACCAACCACUUUCACCAUCAAAACCAACAUCACUACCACCUACACUGCCAGCCGCUACCACACCUACAACUUCCAUUAUUCUAAUUAUAUCCACCGCCAACUAGGGGUGUUCACGGUUUAGUUUUUAACCAAACUGAACCGCGAUCCAAACCACACCGAUUAAAAAAACCUAUAUUUGGUUAGGUUUGGUUUGGAUUUGAAUUUUAAAAAACCGAUACUAAUUUUGUUUGGUUUGGUUUUCCUCUAAAAUAACCGACAAAAUAACCAAACCGAACCAAUAUACAUAUAUAUAUUAUAAUUAUUUAUAUGUUUUUCAUAAAUAUAAUCUAAAUAUUUGUUACAUUUUCUAUUUUAAUCAUGAUUUAACUUUAGUCGUAACACAUUCAGUCAUAUGUCUUCAUCUAGUUGACAAUACAUUAUGAGAUUUUAAAUGAAUUUCAUAUUUUGAAUGACAAAUGAUACUAAUUGUGAAAAUAAUAUCUUGUUAUAUAUUGAAAUUUACAGCUGAAAUUCUUUAGACUAUACACAAUCACUAAUUUUAACUUUCUUUUGAACCUUGUUGGGCAAGAAGUUUAUGUGUUUACCUUUUGGGGUUUAUCAUAUCAUUCUAUUAAAUAUAGUUUUUAAAAUUUUUUUUAAAAGCGUUCAUAUGGUGUUAUCAUGGGUUUGCCGAAGUAUAACACUCAGUUGAGAUCAUAUUUUCAAGAUUGAGAUACAACACUCAGUUGACAUCUCAUAUGUUAGAUUGGAUUUGUUUUUUAAAAUUCUCAAAUUUUAUCAUUAACUAAAGUUAUAAACCAAAAAACCCGAAUCAAACCGAACUAAACCGAUAAGAACCAAACAGAUGGUUAUUGUUUUUUUUGGUUAGGUUUGGUUUUAGAAAUUUAAAAACCGAUUAAGUUGGUUUGGUUAUGGUUUUGACCAAUAACCAAUCCAUAUCGACCCAUGAACACCCCUACUGCCAACGCCGCCACCAUCAACUGCUACCGGUCGAUCCCUACUACAAACCAACUCAUCUAUCAGAACUAGCAUUACCACUAAUAACCACCAACACAUCAUCAACUUCCACACAUCGCUAACAACCACUAACAGAUCAUCAACUUCCACACAUUCUUCGGACACCAUCACCACCACUGUCACCGGCGUCACCACCUCUACCACUACCAUCACAGCUAACAGCGUCUCCAAUGACCACUAACACAUCGUUAACCAUCAUGCAUAUAGUUUUCCUUCACCACAAUCAACACCUCCAACUACUAACAUUAACCAACUUCACAUCACAACCACCACUACCACUACUAAUCGCCAAUAUCAUGACAGUUACUACAAUGCCAUCUAUCUCUACUAUCACAACUAUCAUCACCAACAUUGCUAAUCACUAACAUCAAUUAAUUUAUUACAACCACCACCACCAUUACAAACCAUCUCCACUAUCACUAACAAACAUAAAUGUUUCUUUUUUUAAUCAAAUAAUAAUUUAAUUGCAUUAAAUUAAAAAACUUUCUAAUAUAUAAUUAUAUUAUAUUUAGAAAUAAAUAAAUUUUACACAUUCAGAUAUUGAGAAACACCCAACCUUAAUCAUUUAGUUUUCAGAUCUAGAGAUAAUAUCUUAACCGUUCAGAUGUGCAUUCAAAAUGAUUCAAAUAUAUGAAUAUUAAUAAAAACAAAUGCAGUCUUAGCUGAAACACAAUGGUAUGGUUGUGUGAUACUUUAAAGGAGUCCUCGAAAGCCAAAGAAACUACGUGAAAACAUGGAAGUUUGAUCAUCACUUCUCAGAGUUGUUCUACUCGAGAAACUAUAACAAUUAAGGUAAUAUAACCAUUAACAGCAUUCAACGGAGGAGAAGUCAAUUACAAUUGUCCGUGAAGUAGCAUUUAAUACAGCUUUGCUAGAUUGAAAGAAUCAUCUAUAUCUAUACUAAAUUAAAAGCAUGGAACCCCUAACUUAAAAGUUUGCGACAAUACCAUUCCUAUCAGCCUAAAUACCUACUAUCUAGUAAAAAAAGAGGAAACUAAUUGGCAUAAAGAGAAACAAUACAGAUGUUAAUAGGAACAACCAGUCAUUGUUCUUAUCUCAACAAAAUAUAUGUUAUUUAAAAAAAGCAAGCAGAGGGGUAACUCUCAAAUGUCAAUCUCAUGCUUUUAUCCUACCAAGUAUGUUCUAUUCUUUAAUGCACAACAACAAUAACAACAACAAAUCCAGUAUAUUUCCACAUACUAAUGCACUAACUUUCUUUUUUACCUAAUUAAUUGAACUUUUUAGUGAGGAUCUAAAUGAUUUUCAGACUUUGUUUAACAUCUGAUUCAUUAAGAUGUAUUAGUAAUAGGUUGAAUCUUUUGAAAAAAAACACUUAAUGGGCUGAUAUCUUAACCAUUAAGAUUCAGACCUUCAUUAAGUGAAAGCAAAUGAAAAGGGAUUGUAGUGUAAAGUCUAUAAAUAUGGCUUAGAAUAACAAAUGUAGUUGACACAAUUCAAUACUCCUAUUAUCAACCUAUUUCACCUGUUUCUCCAGCUCAUCCAUAACAUCUGUAAAUAAGUCUUUUGCUAUUGAUUCUAAAGUAUUUGAUGAGACAGCUACAUAUGCAGCAAAAUCUUUAAUCUGCAAGAACAAAAUAAAGAAGGAAAUUAUUGGAUGAAAAAAUCAAAAAGACAAAAAGGGAACUCAUGAAGGUAAUCACUCACUGAACACAAGAAAGAAAAACUAACUUUGAUGCAAUAAUCACGCCAGUUAGUUUUUGCAUUAAGUAUUCCCGCAGGAACAUGCUCUUCCAUCAGUUUUCGAAACUCAUCAAAAUUUUUACGUUCAGCUUUCCUCAAUUCUUCCUAUUUGAAUCAAUGGUGUAUGCCCAGUGAGAAAGAGAUAAAUCAAAGUCUCCAAACAUAAAUUUAAUUUUAACCCCCGAGUCUAAUAAGCAAUAUACCAUCCGUAGUUUCCUUUGCUCCUCCUCUUUGCUCUCUAAAUCACAUAUAUAUUCCUAAAACAGAAAAGGUUGCAACAUAACUUUAAAACAGAGGUGUACAAAUGAGAUGUUUGGAAAAAGUUAUUUAUGAUGUAUUAGAAAAAUGAGUUGUACCUGGAAAAUCUCCAAACGAUCAAUUUUGUCAAGGCGGGAGCAUCUUUCAUCAUUUUCCAAGCGGUCCUGAACUUUCCGCCACUGGCUACUGGCCUGAACAAAAGAACUCAGCAACAGUGGAACUAUAGAAGUUCUAUCUCCUGGAAAUAGAAAAACAUAAUCUAGGAACUGAUGCUAAUUCCACUAGAACAAAUACCUUAAUAAAGUCACAGGAUUUUAAAAAUUCUAAGUACUCCACUCUAUUGCGCUUCUGCUCCUCCAAUGCCUUCUCAUGCUCCUAAUAAAAUCCAGUACAAAGUAAAAAAAAUAAAAUUUCUCUAUAAAGAAGACAAUAUUUACAAAGAGACUUUAACUACACUUGCAUGAAAGUAUUGAAAAACUUUUUCUAUUUUACGACGGAGGGGGAGAGGAAGAAGCAUAUCAUAGUUUCAAGUUUCAAGAAAAAUUACAUACAAUACAUGGAAGUCUAUUUAUAUUAGAAUUCAAUGGUGAACAAAUUUAAAUCUUGUACCCUUGAGAAGCCAUUAAAAAUGUAUUCAAAGAACACAAGAUUUUAAGUUGAAUAUCUACAACAUUCCUUCUUUCUACUCUUUAAGCAAAAUAAAAAAAGGGAACAAACUAAAAGACAUCCUGCAAAGGAAAGGAAUGGAAUGACUGUUGUUAAUCAAGUGGACCAGUGCCUAACUCAACUUCGAAAACUAGGUCAGGUGGUGAAGAUUGUCCUUGAUCAUAUAAGGAAACUACAGCACAUACACCUUACUAGUGUGGGAUUCUCAUACACUAAUCGCACACCAAGACUAGACAUUUGUAGCAUCAGUUAACCUUGGUUGGCCAACAUCUAAUAGUCUAACAUCAAGAUAGAUCUGCCUCUAAUACCAUGUUUAAGAAAUUGGACCUUGUUUCUAGCUCAAAUGAAAGUCUAACUCAAUUUGUGAGGAGCCAAAGACCAUAUAAGGAAACUACAGUCCGAACACUUAGUUUUUAACAUAUAGAAACUUACAAGAAGGUUCUGCAAAAGGAGCUUCACCUUUUUCUCAAGUUCCUCCACAUAAUCUUCAAAAAGGUCCUCACAGUCUUUAGCUCGCUCAACAGCUUUAAAACGCUCAUCAUGUUCGAAUAUGUUCGAAUAUGGAGAUUUCCUUACUGAAUAAUCAAUAGCAAAUAGUCAGUGGAUCAAAUGGAACUUACACAAGUAAUGGAUCAACUUCAAGGUACCAAAACACAUACAAACAAUGACCAAGAUUAGAAAACAAGCAGCAGACAACUUAACAUUACAAGUGAAAGACAAACCUCCAUCUUGACGAUGGUGACAGCUCCUUGCAAUCCUGUAAGAUUGAGAACAACGGACAUUGUUGUGAAAAAUACCACUUAUUCUUUUGAACAAGUCAAAUACCAGUCUCUAACACAUCAUGAAUAUUAUGAUAAUAUCUUUUUAUUUUUGAAACUGGUAAUGUGAAUAUCAUGAUUUAUCAAAUGGAAGACAACCACAAAAGAAAAUUUCACUUACUUCUAACAUUAUCCUGAAAUCUUCCCGAGCUUUUUUCUGUUUAACACACCUCUCUUCAGCUUCCAGUUUUUUCUUUUGGCUCAGAUACUAGAACAGACACACAACUUCAAAAUGAUCAUUAUAGACCUUGGGUGUGUUUGGUAUGAAGGAAAAUGUUUUCCUAGAAAACAAGUUGGUUUCUUACUUGUUUUCUUAUGUUUGGUUGAUGAAAGGAAAACAUUUUUCAAAAAAUGUUUUCUAGUGUUUGGUUGGUGAAUAAAAAAAUAUUUUUCAGAAAAUACAUUUGAGAGUUGUACAAACAUUUCAACUUAAGAGUGAGAUUGAAAGAGAGUUUUGGAAAAUGUUUUUCCUACAUUUUGAAGGGAAUUCAUUUUCCUUAAAUUUAAGGAGAAUAAGUUGAUUUGGAAAAUAUUUUCCAAAAUUUUUAAGUCAACCAAACAUGGAACAAUUGGAUAUCAAACACAAUCUAUCUUUUUGCAAUACAGUAUGCUGAAAUAUUGAAGCAGCAAUUAACCCAUUCCAAUGCCGACUUGGAGAGAUACCUCAUUAAAAGCUUGCUUCCACUCACAAAGGGAUUUUAGAGCUCCAUAUCUCCGGUCAUUAAUUACUGCUCUCAUGGCCUGACAAAUACAAUUCAUGUCAAAUGAUCUCCCUCAAUUGUUUGGUACGCACAAAAUAGUCAAGUAAUAAACCUGAUCCUACGUGCAAUCAGACCCAAUAUUUGCAGAUUCCAAAAGAGUUUUGAAUGCAUUCUUUGCCUCCUAAAUAAAAUCAGAUACUUAAAAUAGAAAUAAGAGAAAUUUCGAGAACAUACAUUAAACAAGGGAAAAAGCAAUAAUCAACUAUACCGCUUUGCUCUCAUAAACUAAUGGUCCCAGCUCGACUGUUUUCUCAUCUGAUGGAGUAGCACCUCUGAUUUCAGUUAUUGCAGCAUCUUACUUGACAUUCUACAUUUUAGGCACAACAUCAAGCACAAAGGGAAAAAUCAAACCUCAUUGGAAUUUGUAGCAUAUUCUUUACCUGUUAGCAGUUGACUAACAACUGCACUACAAAAUUGUUGGAUCAACAUCUAGCAUAACAGCUACGAAAAGCUUUCUUGGUGUUUUAACCAGUAACCAGUAGUAAUUAACUAAUCUCAUAAGUAUUUGAGAAGGACAAAGUACCUUUCUAUUCUCCGAAGAAAAUCCAUCACCAUACACUACUGCAUCUUAAGUUGUAGUAGUCUCAGAACUACAGAAAAAUUGAAUUCCAAAUAAGAAGCAACACAAACCAGAGGCAAAUUUAUAACAUAUAAAUUUGAAAACAUACACCGGUGGCGCGACAAAAUUUCCCAAGGUUACUGCAAUUCCAAUUUUCUCCGAAUUAGCAACAGCUGGCGAAGUAAGUUCUGAAGAAUUCUUCAUUUUGACUGUUUCAAUCAUCGGAAUAGAAACCUUACCAGAUAAACUUGAUGAUUCUGAAGCCACAAUAGUUGGUAAGUUAGCAGCUGGUGACAUAGCAAUUGGGCUUGAUUUAGUACCGUGUGCCAAGACUAAUAAACCAUCUGCACCCGGGAUGAUGUUUUAACAACAGAAAUGGAUCCAAAAUCAGAAGCGUGCGAAAUGGUGUCCUUUUUACGUGCCAACUGUGAAUUUAUAAAUAAUUGAACUUUAUAAGAAUAGAGUUUCCAAGAAAACAGAAUAUUGCCCCUUCUUAUCAUGCUAGCAACUGUGAAUGCAUAAAGAUUUUAUGAGAACUAGAGCAUCCGAGAAAACAGAAUAUUAUCCCUUCUUAUCAUGCUAUUUAAAGCAUAUAACAAUCCCUUCUUAUCAUGCUAUUUAAAGCACGAAAUAAACCCAUAUUGGAUUUAAAUAUAACAUCACCUUGACUUCAUCAGGCAUUCUCCAUUUGGACGUUCUAGUAACCUUCUUGUAGUAAUACCUACAGAAAACAAACAAAGAAAUCAGCAUUAUGCACAAGUAACACACAAAAGUACCCACUGUAGAAGAACAAUUGGAAAGAGGCCAAAAAAAUAUAUAAGUUACACAUUUUCUUCCCUCAGGACUUGUAAAUUUUCUCCGGUCAGUUAAUGUGUCUGCCCUCUGUCCCAAUGAAAACAACAUAAAAGCAGGUCAAGUCAAAAAAUAGAACAUAAACAGUACCCUGAGAGUAGAAUUCAGUAACUUCCAGCAGUACAAUACUGGAUGGAAGUGUUAGAAUAUGAAUGAUAUAAUGUCCCACAUGGAAAAGGACUAGAAUUUACUGUGUAGAAUAUAACUACAAGCAAGGUGGAAACAUUGCCAAGCUGCGUUCGAGCUACAGCUAUCCAAGGGUGAUCAACUGAAUAACAUUCGCCUGAUAAUCACAUUUUGUAUAUAUAUAUAUAGGUUAAAUUCUGUCAUUUCUAAGUAUUUUUUUAUAAACAACCUUGCCACAAAAAAUAAGACUGAGUAUGAUAGUAAGGGUGUUCAAAUCCUACACUGAGGUUCUAUGUUCCAUACCCAACACAGCCCUUCCAUAAUUGUUUCUCCAUUUGGACACGUUUGAAAAUCAUAAACUACAGUUAUGCUUUUUUUCGAUGAAUAAAUUUCUGAACAUGCGUUUUUUGUCCCAAUUAGCUCUUGCAAAAGAGCUAGCAACUAGCAUGCCAUGUAUAAGAAUUUUGUUAAAAUAAACAUAAAGGUAAAUUUAUAAAAUGGUUGUUAUACUAGCUAUCUUGCAUGGGGCAGAGUGUUUAGCUGGUCAAGAGCUCGCAUGUUCGAAAGAUAAACGUAGCAGAAAUGAGGAUGUUGAGAUUGGUGUGUGAGCAUAGGAGAGAUAGAAUAAGGAACAAAGAUAUGCGAGAAAAAGUGGUAGUGCUCUCUAUGGUGGACAAUUUACAAGAAGAAUAGAGGGUUGGGGAUAAAGAACCUAAAAAUUCAAAGUAAGGCUCUCAUGUUGAAAUGGUUGUGGAAAUAUGAAAACAAUAACCAGCUGCUAUGGAGGAAAGUGAUUAGGGCUAAAUAUCCUGAAGAAGAUAGAUGGAUAACUAAAGAAGUGACCACACCAUACGGAGUUAGCCUCUAGAGAUCUAUUAGAUCUAUUAGACACUAGUGGAAUGAAGUUAAAAGCAACUCAAAGGUUAAAGUGAUGGAUGGAAACAAGACUAGGUUCUGGAAGGAUAAUUGACAUGAGGAUGGGAAUAUGGAAGUGACUUUUCCAGAUAUCUACAACUUGGUAUUGUUUCAAUAGAGGACUAUAGCAGAAUUAUGGACACCACAUAGGUGGAACUUCAAUUUCAGAAGGCAACUUAAUGACCGGGAGGUAAUGAGAGUAGUUGAAUUUUUUAAUACCGUAGGCUUAUUCAAUGGACUGCAGACUGUGAAGGACAUACUAUGGUGGAUGGGAAAUGAAAAAGGAAUGUCCAGUGUCAACAAAGCCUACAAGAUGAUGAACCAAAUAAAUCACCCGAAUCCAAGAUGGACAUGGAAGAAAAUAUAGAAAAGUAGGUUACCUCACACAGUGUCGUGCUUUGUCUUUGUGUGGUUACUAACCAAGGAAGUAGUUCUUACACAAGAUAAUGUCAUGAAGAAAGGGAAAACCUUGUGCUCCAGAUGUUUCCUCUGUGGAUAAACUUUAGAGACGUUUAACCAUGUAUGUCUACAUUGUAAGUACACCCAACAACUUUGGAGAAUAGUCUUAAGACUAAAAGUCAUUUCCAGGACAAUGCCUAGGAAAGUAUCUGAGACUUUAAUGUGCUGGGAGAAGUAGGUGUACAUGCGAAGGACAGAGGUAGAUGGAGACUUAUCCCUGGUGCUAUAUGGUGGGCUAUUUGGAAAGAAAGGAAUUCUAGAUAUUUUGAGAGCAUAGAGAAUAGUGUGCAGAAGGUUAAACUCAACUGUAUUUUGCUUUUAUGUUUUUGGUGUAAUCAACUAUACUCUAAUGAUACUGCCUCGAUAAUUGAUGUUCUAGACUAAAUUUAGAUAUAGAACAGUCGAUUUAGGAGUACUCUUGUAUAUAAAGGUUUCAGUACAACCCAUGUGCUGUUUGAUAUAAUACAAAGUUACAAAGUUAAAAAAAAAGAUAAUAAUUUUUCAAGAACUAAAAGUUUAUAAAAUAACAAAUAAAGCAAUUAAAUCUGAGUUCAAAUUGGGUGGGUUGGGCUAUGACCCGCAUUUUAGAGCAUUUCAACCCAACCCAUUUCAGCCCAAGUAGCUUUAGGGCGGGUGGAUAACCCGCCCAUUUAUUAACUCAGACCUCUUUGAUCAGCCCAAAUCUAGCCAGCCCCGCCCAUGUGACACCUUUAGUUUAAUAGAAGUAAAGUGGACCAUGCCAAAACAGAUCUAUUGAGUUGAAGUAAAGUGGACUAUCAAAGGACACACAACAAUCUGUUGAGCUGUUGGAUUAAAGGGGAUUAGCAAAAGUUAGAAGAAAUGGGGGAGAACAAUCCUUCCUUGUAUUUGGUGGACUGUAUGGAGCGAGAAAAGUUGAAGGAAUUUUGAAGAUAAAUAUAAUUCCAUUCAGAAAGUUAAAUGGAAUAGCAUUGUAGAUUUUUGUUUAUUGUUUAAGGGCCAAUGUGUACAGAAUGCAUAACAGGUAGUAGAUCUCUUCAAAUCCUCGUAUUAUUUUCAUUAUUUUUCAUUUUUUUUUUUGGACUGCUAGCAUAACCUUAACUCUGACGAAUGCAAAGUAAUAUCUCCAAAAAAAAAAUUGUUUAUCUCGAAAAGAAAAGAAUAAAAAUGUUCAAACUUCCUUACAGCUCUAGUUGUUGGUCCCUUAAUACUUGUCCCUCACAACCAGCCAAACUUUCUUUGAUAACCGUCGUGUUUGGGCCAGCUUGCACCUUGACUAGUUACACCAGGUACUGCUACCUCCCACCAGCAUAGAUACUGGGUAACUCUAUCCAUCAAGGCUUGGACAGACGGUAAGAAAUCACCUAGUGCUUUUAUCUCUGUUGGAAAUUAAACCUGAGACCUCAUGGUUCUCAAUCUACUUCAUUGACAACUAGGUCACACUCUUGGGUGCAAGUAUGCAACCAGCCAAACUAUUAUUCUGUAAACCAGAAUGAGAAGUGUGAACCGCAAUAUUAUAUCAAGUUUACUCUCUCCAUAUCGCCAUAGAGUUACAAUAACAUUACAUUAAUCAGAAAGUAAAUAAAAUUGUUUAAAAUAGACCAAAUAUAAUCCUGCCGUGUAUACUUAAACACAUUUUUUAGAACAAUAGUGUUAAAUAUAAAAUCUUUUAGAACUAUAUUGGAAAUAAAAAGCCAAUACAAAUCCUAAAUGAAGCCUACAUAGUAUAGUAAGAUCGAGGAAAUCUGCUCGCUAAACAAACUUUCAACAGAAAUCACAUAUACUUAGGAAAGAAAAAGUGGUUCUACGAAGCUUCAUAGAAAAAGAAUUGUGUACUUCUUUUUUCAUUGAUACGCACAGGAAACUGGAUAAAACUACCCAUGAAAAUCUCGAUGACACGAGACCUCACCUCCAUUUCUGUCAUCAGCUCUCGAGGUUUCUCCCAGGUAGAGAUUCUUGUCCUUCUAUUAUAAUAGUAUCUAAAAAUCAAUUCAAGAAUUGUGAAUGUUAUUUUAAUUGGUUGGAGUAAUAAAGCAAUAGGAGUCAGGUAGAAUUUGGUAGCGGUGAACGGCAGCCCAUAUGAUAACUUUGACAAAGAGGACUGAAACAAAGGGGCCUAUUAUCUCCAGUGCUAAUGGAAGCAAAAUGAUGUACAAAGCACUAGAUGUGGAUACUUGAGGGAUUUAUUGGCAGUGAUGGGGGCCAACAUAUCCACCACUUGUUCAUAGACAUGACAUUAAGUGUUUGUGAUGUAGACAUUAACCUAUUCAUACGAGUAACCUAUGUGAAUAUAAUCCAAAAGCAAGAAUUCUGGAAAGCCAAAUCGGCAUGCUCUUUCUUCUGUCUGGAGAACACAAAGUGGUAAAAAGAUUGGAUCUGAAUGAAGAUGAUAUUUUUGCAGAGCUCCUUUUCUUGUAUACCGUGGUUUUACACCUUUUUUGUUCACUGGAAUCUUAAUUUUCUUACAAAAAACUAUCAUAGAAUUCAAAUGUUGACUCUCUCAGUCAACACAGACCCAUUAACCCAUUAACUUAAGCAUACUUGUUGACAAUAUUUAUGCAAAAUGGGUACAAUAAAACACAUUGAAUUCUCACCAGAACAACCAAGGGAGCUGCUAAUUCUCCAGUCUUCUGCAUAGUUGUCGCAAAAUUCACAUUAUGAUUACUUAUUGGCAUCCAGGGUUGUACCCCUGAUGGAAACCUAUGAUUAUUUAUCUGUGUCUGAUACUGGGAGCCAGAAGAAUCUGCAUUUACCUGCUGUUAAAGACGAUAACAAAAUGUAUUUCAUCAAUAUAUGAAUGAAACAUCGAAAACUGAUUGACUAUAACCACAAAAGAUCUUCCCAAGGUCUUACAUUAUAUGAUGAAGAAAGAGGUAAAUUUGGCCCACCAGAACCAAGCAUGUGGUUAUUUGACAUCGGAAGAUUUUGCUGAAAAUCAUGGGGAAUAGGUGGUCCCUGAGGCAUACUAUACAUUCCUACUACAGGGAUACCAGUAACCUGUUGCAUAGGUUGAGGAAAUUGGAUUUGAGAAGGUUGAGACAUCGCAACAUUUGCAUGUCCAAGUGGCAGAAAUUGUUGAGAUGGCCCGGAACCAUAAGGUUGUGCCUGCUGGACUGGAAGCAUAGGCUGGAACUGCUAAAGAUGUGGGGAAAAUAGUUAUCAUAAUGUCUCUACAUUCAAAAGUCAUUUAUCCCUCCCCCAAGCCUCCACAACUUUACCUGCAGUGACAUGGAUGGAAUAGAACCAGGAGCAGGACCAGGCAGACGAGGUAUAGGAGGCUUCUCAACCAAUAUCUAUGCAAGGAAGAACAGAUGAAAUCAGAAUAUAGCUACUUUUCAAUCAUAUUUAGUUAAUUUUCCAAUCAAUGCUGAAAGCUUGUAACCAUGCGCAACUCCCUAAUUUAAUUUGAAAGACAAGGCAAGAAUUUUGAAGCCAAACCACAUAGUAACAUGAAACCCUUUUCUUCAUCUUAUAAACAGAAAGCUUGAAACGAGAAUAAAGAGAGAUAGGAAAUAGAUGACCUAUCACAGCGUUUGACGAGAAUGGACAAAAUGAGAAGCAUCUUUACCUUAUGGCUUGGGUUUAACAGAUACUGAUGGCCUAAGUAUCUUUUCUUCGGGUGUAAAGAAGCACGUCUGUUAAUGCAAAACUAUGAUCAUGGAACUAAAACAUGAGGUAUGAGUAGGUAUCAGGCUAACUGAAAAAUUCUGAGACCGGAAUGGGUUGAGCCUCACUCUUCCCUUCUGAUGUUCUAUGCCAUACUGACAUCACUACUAGAAUCUAAAAGCCUAACUUGGUUAUUCGCUCUAUCAUCUCCCCCUUAGCUUCAAGCUAUCAUAUUAAGUUUGGGAGAUCCCUUACUAGACUCUAAACUGAAGUACACUCACUGUACUCUGGGGUCUGGAAAACUACUAUACAUGUAUAUCAUGGAACUUAACCCGAAUGACUACACUUGAAAGUGGAAACCCCACUGUUAAUACUACCUUCUGAGAUGCACUUUAUCAUUCUAUAGACCCAGUAGUCAUCAUAUAAUACUUGCAUACUUACUAACUUCGGGUCUUCAUGGGUAUCCCCCAUAGUUGGAGUGCAUACCCUCUAGUGCUUUAACUCUUAUUUCUAUUAGUUCAACCUUUAAAAACUCAAACUUAGAACCUAUCACUCAACAUUGAUAUCACCAAGCCUUCAAUGAAUCGUACUACUUCCGACAUAGCCUACCAAUAUCGCGACUCCAAACUUACAUCUCUCUACUAUGAGAAUCAAGAUCAUAUAAAAGGGUCAACACUAUCAAUCAAAACUCUUUUACUUGGCUAUUUAAAACACCAUAUACCAUCUAACUAGUCUUUCUCCACUAGCAACUCAACGGUACCACUCGUCACACAAAACGUGUAAUAGUCUUAGAAAAUACCGAAACCUCAGAUCACGUUGGGCAUACUUCUACAUUAUAUAUGCAACAUCAUACUUCACUACGAAUCAAACAAACUUAAGCACUUGCAUAUAUCGUUCAAGCCUAUGAGAUUACUUCCAUAAAACUAGUAUCAUUAACCAAGAAAUCAUCACAUCCACCUUCAUGGACAUCAAUUGUUCAAAACUUAAUGUCUAGUGUUAAACAUGAUUUUACAACCCAGCCUUAUGCAUGAUUCUCACUUGGAUAACAUGAAAUAGACAUCAAGAAACACUAGUACACUAGAACUUCUGAACAACAAAUAAUUGAUCUUGACCUUAUGGUCUUCCUUAUCAUAACUCAUUAGCACGUACUAUUUUAACACAUCAAGCCUACUAAUUUUUUCCCACAAAACAUACAUCAUUAAUCUUAUGCCACUAUUUUUACCACCACAUUCUACAUUAAAUUCAAGCAUAUAGUCCUGUACCAAUCAUCUAUCACUACUAAAAAAAUGUCCUACAACAUAUAUUGACAAAGGGGAAAUAAUGUCCCACAACAUAUGUGGACAUCUGAACAACCGCUUGCGAAAUCUCUAAUACAUGACUGAAACAAAUUACUAUCUGAAAACUAGGACAAGGCCCCAGUAGACCCAAAACUACCAAAUGAUAAAUGAACUGACAGACAUCAGGCCUUCCGAAAUAUAGAAGGCUCACCACUUGAUUCUGCAAAUCUGUCGGAAGAGAUCUACUAGUUAUCUGGACCCCUAAACUAUGCCUCCAAACCUAGAAAGGAAGGGGUUCAAUACAAAAGUACUAGUACGCAAAGAAACCAAAAACAAAAUAUAAUGUUUUUUUCCAAAUAUAGGUGAGAGCCAUUAUAAAGCAGUUCCAUAUCAAAUCAUUUGAAAAUAUAUGGGCAUAAUAUAAUAGUUUUCAACAACAAUGUAAUGCAGCUGGGCUAGGUGGAAUACCCUACAUAUAACAUUUACACCAACUUUCAAAUCUCAGUUGCUGCCGAGAUUAGAGUGUAUGUGAGGGGAAGACACAUAAGAUCACACAGCAGAGUGUCUCGACCCAAUAAAGUAUAGUAGUUCCCAAGAUCACGUAGCCUAGGCUCCUAACCAUAGUCCCAAUUAGGGAAUGACAUAAAGUCAAGUACACAAGAUCACAAAGCAGGGUACCAAAUCCCCAUGUCGGCAAACAUGGUUUCCAGCGAUGAGCCCUUAUACUCAAACGCCUUCUUCGGGCACCCACCUAUCUCAUUUAAAAUCAAUGCAUCAAACUCCAUUUAAUUCAAUCACAUAGCUUAUUCUGUAGGGUAUCGUCAUACCCGACUUGCAAGCCAUCAAUAUCAUAUCAUUCUUUCAUGCAACCAUUAUAUUCAUCAUAUUUCAACAUAACAACCCUCUCAUUGCAAGUCAAAACCAUAACCAUUUUCAAAAUAUUUCAUGUCACGCUUGUCAAGAUGAUUUCAAACAUUUCAAAUCAUAUGAGAAUUUAAAAUAAGAUCAUAUAAAAAGAGGGAUUUCAUUUAAUUCAUGCCCUCAAGUUAACAUCUUUUUGGAAUACAUGCAUAUACAUAUAUCAUAUAUCAAACCACUUCGGCAAUAGGCCUAAAGACCAAAUCAAUAUCAUAAAACGUUUAAAACGGGAUUAUAUUCAUAAUUUCAAAACCCCAAUUUUUAAAACAUGAAUUUUUAAGCUCAUGAUAUUUUUGAGAUAACCCCACGUACCUCUAUAUGCAAAUAUGAUAGGUGCUUCUUGAAGCCUACGUUCUGGGGAUUCCAAAGAUGCAAUUAGUUUCAAAAACUCACGGUUGAAUCUUGAGUUGCUUGAGUUUUUAUUUUGAAACCCUAAGGAGAGUUCUUGAGAAAUUUUGAUGAAUGAAGGUGUAUUUUGGGGUAUUUUGGGAACUGAAUUACGUGUUUAUGGCUAAAUAAGGGUGGGAAAAGAACCAUUUUGCCCCAAAAAUAAAGUGUUUAAGUCACUUGAGUAAUUAUAUAUGUGGCGCAAACCUUAUUAGAUAAUAUAGGUUGUGCGGCGCACUCUUUAUCGCACAUAUUAGGUUGUGCGUUGCACACCUUAUGGAAUAAGUUAGGGUAUGCGUCGCACACCUUAUGCUGCACGACACACUCCAUUUUGGAAAGCCAUAACUUCUUCCUCAGGUGUCGGAAUUUUGCGAAAUUGGUAUCGUUGGAAAGAUAAUUCAAAUAACUUUCAUUUGAUAUAUAGUAGGCACUCUAAUUCAAUAUAUACGAAGAUUAAUGGUCGAUUGAAGUUGACCUAAGUUUCAACACUCACUAAAAUUUGAACGAUAGGAAAACUUUCAACUUGUCCUUGAGCUUGGCUACCUCUAUGAUCUCAAUUCAUGCUCAAAUAGGUUUCCACACUACAUAAUUUAUUAACAUACUAAACUUGCAUUGGAUUUAUGGAUUUUGUAACCUUUACGUGAAGAAAAUGAUGAUUUUCGUUCUCGUCCGAAAUGCGGGGUGUUACAAAAUUUUGUUAGAAAAUGGAAAAUACAACCAUAUGGAGUACAUUUUAGUUGCACCGUACUCCAAAUACACUAAACUGAACUUUAAAAGUACUAAUGCAUUUCUUACCUGUUGGUGUUUAGCAUUCAAAAGUUUUAUUGUCUAUGCUCGGAAGAUAGCCACAACGACGGUUUCAAGAAUGAAAACUAAUCUUAAAAGAAGCCAUGCUCGCUCUGGAGUUCCUGCUAUAUGAUGCAACAUUAAUCUACAACGUUGAAGCCACUUUCCUAAUCCUUGGAGUCUAUGUUCUUCCGAGAAUGAAAUAUGAUUAGGUAACACAUCCUUAACAUCAUUUGAAUUAGUGACAGGAGGAUUACUAUCGCAAUGUUCUCGAUCAGCGUCCAAACUACUUCUCUACAAUAAGGCUAGAAUCAUUGGGACUAAUCCAUUCUCCUCAGCAUCAAUACAAAAUUAGGAUCAAGCCCUUUAUCUUACAAUAAAUUAGCUAAUUCAUGAUUAGUGUGUCUUCCUUUCUGCUUUAACAUAGAUGUAAUCCUGGGAUCACUCAACUUUUCUUAAAAUGCAAGUACCAAAUUCAAGUCUAGUAUCUGUUGGUCUGCAGAAGUAGAUGUACUAGAAUCACCGCCUUGGCUUUCAAGGCCACUGCUAGAACAAACAACCAAUGAACUAUUAUGCUCUAAAUUUCUAUCAACAUAUGAUGAUCCUACUUCAGGCUCUUGAACAACUGAACGAUAGGAACUACUGCGUAGAGCUAGACUUGGUCUUCCACUGUCUAUCCUCUUAUCACUAUUAAUCCCCUCAAUGUUAUUCUAGGUACUUCCAUCACCAGUGUAAGGCACAGUUGCAUUACCAAGAUGACCAGCAUUAGCACUACUACUGCGUUUGAUACCUGAGCCACACUCUUCAGAAGAGCUUGCGGAGCUAUUUUGGUCUUUUCUAUGGAAACCUUCUCUAAGGCAGAUAACUGUGCUCUGCAAGGCAUCUCGUCUAGCUGCUAAUGGUUCCGUAACUGAUAAAUGCCAUGUAACAGCAGCACCCAACAGCACAGAUACUACAACUGCAUAACUGAUACAAUGUCCAAAGUACUUGAAACAAAAUUGUUGCAGUAAGAGAUUAGAAGAUUUUUUUUUAUAACAAAAGAUUAGAAGUUUCUAUUCAACAAAUAAUAUUAAAAGGGAUGCAUAUGCCACAAGUAUAAGAACACUUGAUUAUGGAAGAAAAUGAAUUAGCAUGGGUUAACAACAAACCAGUAAUGAACUCCAAAAUAGAUCAGGAACACCCGAGAUAUACCGGCAACAAAAAGUACGACGACUCGACUUUUCAGAAGCUUAAAACCAUACAAGCAAGCUCCCAAGUUCCAAUCUGGUUGAAUGAAAAGCUAGUGAAUUCAUCACUUAACACAAGGAAAUAAGAAAUUAUUUCACAAUACGAGUCAGAAAAGGAGACAGAUAUAUGUAGGAAAUGAACUACCAAGGAUUAUCACGGCAGCUGAUGUUGNNNNNNNNNNNNNNNNNNNNNNNNNNNNNNNNNNNNNNNNNNNNNNNNNNNNNNNNNNNNAGUACUACAAGUGAACCAACAUAUAGAAGUCCAAGAUGCAGAGCCCAAGUUCAAAGUGAAGGAGAGUAAAUUAUAGACUUCAGAGAAAAUGUUGAAAAGAUAGUGCAGAAAAUAUGAUGAGCAGUAUAAAUGAGAACCCACUAAACACAUAAUAUAAUAAGGUGACUUUCUAAUCUAAAGCAGCAUUUAAAUUAAUUUUCUUAGCAGUGCGAUUUUAAUAUCUACUGUUUUUACUGAACUACUGGAGAGUGUGUUUUGUUCUCUCAAAGUUAGCAUUCCUUUUAUUCAAAUAGAUUUGAGUUACACCCGUUGUUUAGCGUUCUUUGGCUCUUAAUUUUAAAAGUCUGUUAGUUGAGAACAUUUUGGCCUAUCUUCAUAUCUUCCAUAUCUUAUAANNNNNNNNNNNNNNNNNNNNNNNNNNNNNNNNNNNNNNNNNNNNNNNNNNNNNNNNNNNNNNNNNNNNNNNNNNNNNNNNNNNNNNNNNNNNNNNNNNNNNNNNNCAUCGUGUUUACACCAAAAAUAAAGAAGUGCUAAACUAUUCAUGUUGAUCUUCUGGACAUCCUCAAAACAACCCUUGUUUCUUUCUGUCCAAACUGUCCACCAUAUACAUGUUGAACAAUUUUCCAUCUCUCCUCCUUUAUUACAUUUACAUCCCCGUUCCAGCUGCUUAGUACUUUUUUAAUGCUCCCAGGCUCUACCCACCUGAUCCCCUUCAGGUUGAAAACAUUCUCUACAACUGCUCUGUCCAUUUCCAAUGUAAGAAAAAAUGGUUGAUUGAGUAAAGAAAGGAUCUUGGGCCUAACUUAACCCCAAAAGCUAGCACAUGAGAGGAGGAUUGCUCAAGUCCAUAUAAGAAGACCGAUAGUUCACUCCCCAACAAUGUGGGACUUUCACCCACUCUAACACCACCUUCACGCCCACGCCAAACAAGAGCGUAGUCCGGGAGCUCAAACGUGGAUGGACCUGCUGUUUGAGAAGGAAUAUCAACUGCUAUUUGUAUGCAAGAGAGAACAGAUGAGCUGUUAUUACUGAAUGCAUUGGGUCUAUCAGCACGUACAGGUUUAUGCAUUAUGCCAUUAGGUUUUGCAGCAGUUCCAAUAUUUUCAGCAGCACCACAAGUUGAAUUCUAAUGCACUGCAGUAAGGAAAGAAAACUUAAACAUUAACUUGAGACAACAACACAAGCUUCUCAAAUGCAGGUUCGAGCAAAAACAAAGAUAAUAAGCAAAUAGAAGGCAAUGAAGAUAAAGGAUAAGUCUAGAUAAGCUUAGGGACAGGCUCCAAACUGAACAUAGUGCUCGUCAUUCUUGUUGCAGAUAAGAUCAGACAACUUAUAAUUUUGACGUUAAGAGUUUCUUGUAGAGGGUGCUGAAUCCAUUUUGCAACUUGGGAGGCCUUGUAAAGCAUAGAAAGGCUCAUUUUUGUAAAGAAAAUACUGCCCACAUAGUAUAUAUGCUAUCAUUUUCAAAAAAAUAUGGUGCUUGCUGGUUUUACCAAUAUCAUGUAUGCUUGUACCUUCCAAUGCAACCUUCUGGCGAAAAAACUAACCACCAAUAGGCAUCUUUCACCAUAGAAGAUUCUAGGACUGUCUUACUAGGAAUUAGGUAAGUGCAAGUUCUUGAAGCAAAAUUGUUUGCAUCAUUGAAGAUUAGAAAGCCAGGUAUACAAGAGAUUAGACAUGUUAAAGAAAAAAUGACAGGUUUAAUAUCAGGAAAGACAUAGAAAACUCUCAUUGACAUAUAAAUGAUGGAUCCCAAAUACCUUCAGAAGUUACACACAAAAGGAAAAUGGUACAAAAACCAAUUCCACCUUCAUAAUAACUAUGUCUUCUUUAUGUAAGCAUAAACAUUAUCAGGAAAGACAUCAAAGAAUCUCAUUGACAUUUAAAUAAUGGUUCCCAAAUAACUUCAGAAGUUACACGCAAAAGAAAAAUGGUACAAAAACCAAUUCCACCUUCAUAAUAAUUGUGUCUACUUGAUGUAAGCAUAAACAUAAAGAACAUAUUAACAUACCAAAAAAUUAUCAAAAUGUUCUACAAUAUAGUGCAUAGUUUUUUUCGUUUUUUGAAAUUGAACGCAGUCCAUAGUUUAAAAAUAUGCAAACAACAUUUAAUGUGGCAGGUGAAGCAUCAAGUACUGGAAGGAAAAUUUAAAACAUGGUGGAGGCAAAUGAAAGAGAAUAUCUAAAAGAAUGAUCAGAGGGCAGGGUGGAAUUCCCUCAUAGCAAGUCAAAUGAAGUUUAAAACUAUAUAAAGAAGAUGAAACUAGAGGCUUCUGUAUGUGUCUCACACACUUGGAAUAAACUAUUUGUGAAUGAGCAUAACAGAAUCAAAUGUACUGAGACAAAGCAGGCAUUUGAUUGCAGAUCAAAUGGAAGAGUCUGCCAACUGACCAGAUUUAAGAGCAGCUCUGGUCCAUGCACCAUUUUGAGGUAAAGUUAUAUAGGUAAAAAUUUGGACAUUACUUAAUAUAUACACAAACUGAACAUGAACUGCCCAAUUAUACAAGUGCUUUUUGUAGCUACACAGUGACAACCUUAGUGAAAGAAUUCAUCAAUGAGAAGUUAACUCAGUAAGCUUAGUGAGAUUUCCCCCACAAGGAAUGAAAGUGUGGAUGACCCGACAUCAAAUAUACGAUUGUUAUUAUACACACAAUCUCCAUACAACAGCAAUCCUCACUAAAUACUUCGUAAGACAAAAAUCAGCCAAUACUUACAAAACCAAAUGAAGCAAAAUAAGUUCAUUGUCUUGAUCACCAACAAGUAAAAGAAAUGUUUACAAUUGGAGAUUCAAAAAGGUUGCAAAAGAAAGAAGCAAACUUUCUCUUUAACAAGUAUCAAAGGGGGGAAGAAUGAGAGUAAAACCAGUAAGUAUACGAGAAGUAUGAACACUAUUGUAGUUUGGCCAUUUAGCAUCCAUCACUCCAACAGAGAAUCAGGACUUGCAAGAAGGUCGAAAGGUUUGCCUAUUGAGUCUUUCAAGAUUGUGAUUUGACCCUCUUUCAUAAGAAAGUCUUCGUCGAGGGUAUCUACCUUCCUUUUCAACAUGUUGAUCUCAUAAUUCAACAGCAUGUUCAUCUCACUGUAGCUCUUAACUUCCUCCCACAUGAAAUCCCUCUCUUGAAACACUUUUGGUAGUAUCGCCUUCACAAUGCCAAGUUCCUUCAUGUAUUCUUGCAAAUCAUUAGUGAGCUGGUUGAUAUUUUCAUCCUUUUUUAGCACCUUCCAGAAUCAACUGUAAACCAUGAAAAACAAAAAAUACACAAAGAUCACCAAUAACAUUUCAUCAGAAAUUCAAAACAAACUCAUAGCCUAGAAGUUCAACCAAAUCAUGAAUCCUUUUUAACUGUUAAAAUUCACAGUAGAUGACUCGUGAGCUUGUCCAAGAAUUAAGUCAGAUGGACGAUCAAACUUACCGAAACCCUUCGGGUAACUUUAGCACAUCAGAGCACAAUCAGAUCAAUGGGUUUAGGGAUAUCACAAAGUUUAUCAUGUUCUUGGUUAGUUCAACUGAUUACACAUUAAGACGAUCAGACAUUUCAUAGAAGACUACCACAUGCCAGCAACUCAUGUAUACAAGUUCAUAAAGAAAACCGUGAACUUCAAAUGGAACAAAGAUGAACCUAAAAUCAAACAAAAGUAGAAAGCUAAUGCAGAGAGAGUAACAUGCGAACAGGCUAUCACAUAUGAAGACGAGGUAUCCAAAGUUGAAAAAUAAAAACUAUUCCAUUGCAACAAGAUCUUAACAUUGCCUGCUUACCUGAAGCUCGAUAUAUUUUAACUUGGGUGUGGCAUAAGAAAGAGCGUCCAGUGCAUUUUGCACUUCACAUUUGAGAAUGUCAUUACUUUUAACUGUUGCGCCUAGAUCAUCCUGAAGUUGCUUUAUGUCCAUCUUCUCGGAAUAGAGCUUCUCCCUUAGCACAGUUGUCAGCAAAGUCUCCGAUUUAAGCUCUUUAACCUUUUCCUCGUAGCUUUCUCGAACAUAAUACAUAUUGCCUUGAGCUACUCGAUAUUUUGCUUGUAACUGAGUCAGCUGCUGCCUUAGAUUUUGAUUCUCCUCUGACACUUGCUCUAUUCUCUUAGACAAAUCUUUAAGGUGUUUCUCAGAAAAUGACAUCUUGAUUCUAUUAUCUACUUCCUUCUCAUUAAAUGAAGAGACUUUCCUUUGUAGAGAUAUAUUCUGCUCUGCAAGCUCUCUCGCCCUUUCACGGAGUCUAUGUUGUUCAAUUUGGUAUUUCUCAAGUUUUAGAGACCAAUCGCUGGAUCUUCUAUCCAACUCUUUUUCUAGUACUGAUUGUAACUCAUUCUUUUCUGUCUCUAAUCUUCGUGUCCGUGAAUCUAGUUCUGCCUGUAAUAUGUUGGCUUCUUCCUUAGCAGAAGCCCUUUAAGCAACUUGAUUCCGUAGCAUGUUUGAAACUUCAGAAGCCAUUUGUACCUUCUCCUUUGUUAAUCUUCUAAUAGUCCGAAUCCACACUGGAAUACUAAGGUCUCUGUCGUGAAGAAACAUUUGUCAUUACUUUGGACAAGCAAAUGCAAAUUAAGACAUCAGUUUAAGUGUGAAAAAGGAAGCUACAGCAAAAUGAUAUGCAUACCGGCUUGAAUCACGACCAGAUUUCUUAGGAUGAACUUUCUUACUGUGACCAUGGGGAGAUUUUCUCAGAUCCGUGAAAUUCUUUUUUCCUGACCCACUGUCAUAGAAGGAUCAAGAUAACAAUGAAACACUCCUCCAAGAAGAAACUUCCUUGGACUUUAAUGGUGGUGAAGGGGUCUUGUUUGCAUCAUUAGUUGAUGAUCGAAAAAAUAAGAAGUUGUUCUUCAUCAUCUCUGUGUAUGGAGACUGUAUAUGAAUCAAACUAGUGUACAUGAAAUUUCAAAAGACAAAGCAAAACACUCAUAAACAACCACUCACAAAUCAUUAUCCAUUCAUGAAAAUACUGCAAGCUAACUAAAUACUUAUUAGACAAAGCAAAACAUCUCUCUUUCUAUAUGUUUCUUCUUCAACAACAACAUACGUAACCCCUACCUUGGCAAGUAGAAAAUUUGUUUCCCAUAAAUCCUCGGCAAGGAAAGCAAAGACACGAGGAUAUUAACAACAGUAGCAAGUAAUAAAACAGAGGUAUACAAUACAACAAGUAGAAAAGAAAAAUAUAUACUAAUACUACUACCAGAAGAGACAUGACGUGAAACUAUUUACUCUAGUCUUCUACUGAAAAUUAAUAAAAUACCCCACAAACAAAUAGCACAAGAACAAUUCAAAGAACUUAUCAAAUCCUUCUAAUAAAACAAAUAAUCAUGGUAAAUAAUUAAAAAAAAAAUUACUAAAUCAAAGAGUUGAAAGAGUAAGAGCCGGCAAAAGGUUGUCAGAAUCUAUAGGAUUCUUGUCAUUUUUUCUUGAAAUAUAAAAAUUGCAAAAGACUAGAAUGGAGAAAACUUUUUUUUCUGUGUCUUUCAUUCAUCAUCGUACAAUGCAUAUAUACAACUAACAAGGAUCUGUAAAUUACUAGUAAAUAUUUACAAGGAUCUAUAUAUGGCAAGUGAAUAUUUACAAGGAUCCAGAAAUAUACUAAGUUACUAAGUCCUACAACGACAGGUGAAACGAUGAAGACAGAAGACCAUAAUUCCUGUUGUACUAUUUCCAAGAAAAAACAUUCGCAUACAAGCAAGUUGGAAAACUAAGCGCAUGACUUCUCUACAAUGUACGCUAUACUCUCUUCAUUUUGGGAUGUGGAAAAUAUUUGACCUUAUUAACUAGAUUCAUCUAUGUUGAUUCCAAUAAAAAAGUUCUAGGCCUUUUGAGAUUGCUUUAUUCCAUAUAGUAUUGGUCUCUCAUACCUUUGUACACCUACAAUCAUCAUGUUGCAGGUCCAGCGCAUGUGCUACUAGCACCAAAAAUCAAAAUUAAUAUCUUAAACAUUAUGUAUACUCCAAAUCGUCAUACAAAAUGGAGCCACCGGAGCUUUCAUGUCUAAUGAAUUUUUCAUUUUUCAUAAAAUGGAAAAAGUACCUNNNNNNNNNNNNNNNNNNNNNNNNNNNNNNNNNNNNNNNNNNNNNNNNNNNNNNNNNNNNNNNNNNNNNNNNNNNNNNNNNNNNNNNNNNNNNNNNNNNNNNNNNNNNNNNNNNNNNNNNNNNNNNNNNNNNNNNNNNNNNNNNNNNNNNNNNNNNNNNNNNNNNNNNNNNNNNNNNNNNNNNNNNNNNNNNNNNNNNNNNNNNNNNNNNNNNNNNNNNNNNNNNNNNNNNNNNNNNNNNNNNNNNNNNNNNNNNNNNNNNNNNNNNNNNNNNNNNNNNNNNNNNNNNNNNNNNNNNNNNNNNNNNNNNNNNNNNNNNNNNNNNNNNNNNNNNNNNNNNNNNNNNNNNNNNNNNNNNNNNNNNNNNNNNNNNNNNNNNNNNNNNNNNNNNNNNNNNNNNNNNNNNNNNNNNNNNNNNNNNNNNNNNNNNNNNNNNNNNNNNNNNNNNNNNNNNNNNNNNNNNNNNNNNNNNNNNNNNNNNNNNNNNNNNNNNNNNNNNNNNNNNNNNNNNNNNNNNNNNNNNNNNNNNNNNNNNNNNNNNNNNNNNNNNNNNNNNNNNNNNNNNNNNNNNNNNNNNNNNNNNNNNNNNNNNNNNNNNNNNNNNNNNNNNNNNNNNNNNNNNNNNNNNNNNNNNNNNNNNNNNNNNNNNNNNNNNNNNNNNNNNNNNNNNNNNNNNNNNNNNNNNNNNNNNNNNNNNNNNNNNNNNNNNNNNNNNNNNNNNNNNNNNNNNNNNNNNNNNNNNNNNNNNNNNNNNNNNNNNNNNNNNNNNNNNNNNNNNNNNNNNNNNNNNNNNNNNNNNNNNNNNNNNNNNNNNNNNNNNNNNNNNNNNNNNNNNNNNNNNNNNNNNNNNNNNNNNNNNNNNNNNNNNNNNNNNNNNNNNNNNNNNNNNNNNNNUCCUAAUUUUAUAGCUUGAUUAUAUUUAAUUAAUCUACAAUUACAUAAAGGACUCAAAUAUGGAAACAAUUGAUAUUAAUUACCUUUAUAAUUUCAAAAAUUUAAUCCCAUGAAUUUCUCAUAUUCUUAUAGUUUGAUUAUAUCAAAUUGAUAUUAAUUACCUUUAUAAUUUUGGGAAGAAUUUAAAAAAGGUAACGAUUAUUUUUUUCCUAAUUGCUGAUUUAUUUCUCAAAUUUUUUUUAUAAAUUUAUAAUUUGAUUAUAGUUAAUUGAAUAUUUAAUUAUCUUUCUAAUUUCUAAAAACUCAAAUAAGGUAACCAUUAUUAUUGAUAUUAAUUACCUUUAUAAUUUUGGCAAUUCAAUCCCAUGACUUUCUCAUGUUUUUUAUAGAUUGAUUAUAUCAAAUUGAUAUCAAUUACCUUUUAAAUUUUGGGAAGAAUUUAAAAAAGAUAACAAUUAUUUUUUUCCUAAUUACUGAUUUAUUUCUCAAAAAAAUCUUAGAAAUUCCUAAUUUUAUUGUAGUCAAUUGAUUAUUUAAUUAUCUUUAUAAUUUGAUAAAAGCUCAAAUAAGGUAAUAAUUAUUUUUUUUUAGAUUACGGAUUUUCCUAUAUUCAAUCUUUUAUUGUUUUAUUAAAAUAGUUCAAAUUUAAUUGUUUUGAGGGAUGACAACUUUUUGUCUCUAAAUCUUUUUUAAUACAUAAGAAAUGCUACAGGAAUACAAUAAUCUUCUUUCUUUUUAUAAUCCAAACUUACCAUUUAAAAAUUAUUUCAUUUGAAUUAAUAAGAUCAUAGUAGUUUGUACAAAAUCAAUUAAUUAAUUAUAUGUAUUUUUAUAUAAAAAAUGAUGUACGACAUAAUUGUAAUAAAAUUACACAAUUAAAUUUAAUGUUGUAAAUUUUAAAAUAUAUUUAUGACUAAAGUAGUAGUCAGUGUUCAUUGUUUUUUUACCAAUAUAUGUAUAUCAAUUACGAAACAUUGCAUCUAUUUUUUAUUAAAAUACAUUGUCAAUAUUAACUGAUUUCUAUCUCAAUUUGAUCUAAUUAAUUUUAUAACAAUAAAAUUAUUAUUUAUAUUAUAUAUUUAUUUACCAUAAAUCUAUCCUAAUUAUAUAGUUUGAUUAUAUUUAAUUAAUCAACAAUUACAUAAAGGACUCAAAUAUGGAAACAAUUGAUAUUAAUUACUUUUAUAAUUUCAAAAAUUUAAUCCCAUGAAUUUCACAUAUUCUUAUAGUUUGGUUAUAUCAAAUUUAUAUUAAUUACCUUUAUAAUUUUGGGAAGAAUUUUAAAAAGGUAACGAUUAUUUCUUUUCCUAAUUACUGAUUUAUUUCUCAAAAAUUGCUUAUCAAUUUACAAUUUAUUUAUUUAAUUAUCUUUACAAUUUGCUAAAAACUCAAAUAAGGUGACAAUUAUUUCUUUUCUUAAUUACAGAUUUUCUUAUAUUCAAUCUUUCAUUGUUUCACUAAAAUAGUUCAAAUUUAAUUGUUUUGAGGGAUGACAUUUUUUUGUCUAUAAAUCUUUUUUAAUCCAAACUUAUCAUUUAAAAAAUAUUUCAUUUGAAUUAAUAAAAUCAUAGUUGAUUGCAUAAAAUCAAUCAAUUAAUUAUAUGCAUUUUUAUUAAAUAAAUGAUGUACGAAAUUAUUGUAAUAAAACUAUACAAUCAACUAAUUAAUUUCAAUUAAUUAGAAUCAAUUUUAUGAUCAUAAUAUAUAGACUCAAGUUCCUUAAAUUUAAUGUUGUAUGUAAAUUUUAAAAUAUAUUUAUAGCUAAAGUAGUAGUCAACGUUCGUUGUUUUUUUUCCAAUAUAUGCAUAUCAAUUACGAAUCUUUCCAUAUAUAUAUUUUUUAUUAAAGUAAUUGUCAGUAUUAACUAAUUUCUAGUUCAAUUUAGUCUAAUUAAUUUGAUAGCAAUAAAAUUAUUAUUAAUAUUAUAUAUUUAUUUACCAUAAAUCUGGCCUAAUUUUAUAGCUUGAUUAUAUUUAAUUAAUCUACAAUUGUAUAAAGGGCUCAAAUACGAAAAUAAUUGAUAUUAAUUACCUUUAUAAUUUCGGAAAUGUCACGACCCAAAUGGCCAUGAGUGGUACCCACACUAAUCUUCCUAUGGGAGAACCAUCUAAACCGAACCAUUACCUAGUCACUUAGUCAAUAUUAAGAUGAUAUUGUUAUAAAAUCACAUAAUAACAAUAAUCCAGGACUAAUUAUUACUAAUGCGGAAGUCAAAGCUACUUACUAAAAUCCCCAAGACCCGAAAGUCAUCGUACAAUAACUACUAACCAAGAUCAUGUCUAAGAAUAUAUACAAACAUAAAAUAAACAAAGAAUGUCUCACUGUUUGAAAGAUGGACAAGAAUAAAUAAGAUGACCCAUGGCAGCCUGGAGAUGGAGUGCUCAAUCUUGGAUCAAGAUCUGUUAUCAAACUCUAGAGGUGAGGUCAUGUCUGAGCCUCUAGAACGCUUUAUGCACUCAACAAAAGAAGAGUACAGGGUAGUAUCAGUACAAACCACUAUGUAAUGGUAGGCAUCAUAGGUCAACUCAAUUUAAUAGCAUGUACACAACAUAAAUCAAAUAACAAGUAACCAGGCAUCGUCACAUAACAAAUAUUCAAUAACAACAACGGGUCAACAGUGCUCACAAACAAGCCACAUAACCAUCAAGAGUAUCAACCAUACUGUAAACAUCCACCAAAUCAACACAAGUAUGUACACACAUGUAGCAAUCAUUUUUUUCCUAAUUACGGAUUUUCUUAUAUUCAUUCAUUUAUUUGUUUACAAAAAUAGGUCAAACUUAAUUAUUUUGAGGGAUGAAACCUUUUUUAAUAUUUUUUAUUCAAAAUUGUCUUAGUUUUAGGCUAGACUAUCCUUCUUUAUUAUAUAGAUAGAUAAUUUCAAAAAAAUUAAUUAGAGUAUUUUCUUAUAAAAAUAAUAUAAAUAUUAUUUUAUAAAAAUAAUAUAAAAUAUGGUAUAUUAAUAAUAUUUGCAUUAAUUAUGCUUCUAUUUUCUUAUGCAGUAUUUGAUUCUACGUAUUAAAAAUAACUUUGAAUCAAUGGUGAAAGUGGAGGGACUUCUUUCUUAAUUGGGGUUUUUUUUUUUUGGGAAAGUUGACACUUUCUUGACUACCAACCACCCAACACAAAGCUGACACUUCUUGGUAGAUUGGCUAUUUUUUCAUACGGUACUAAUUUAUAUACAUUUUCUUUGAUAUUUGUUAUAUUGUUAGUUUGAUUUUGUGUAUCGUAUUAAUUUAUAUGCAUUUAUCUUUUAUGUUUGGUAUAUUAUUAUGAUCCUAAGCUGGGAGUCUAUUGGAAACAUCCUCUCUACUUCACCUGAGUAGUGAUAUGAUCUGCAUACACUAACCUCCCCAGACCCUACUAUGUGGGAAUACAUUGGGUGUUGUUGUUGCUGUUGUUGUUUCUUAUACAGUAUUUGAUUCAAAAUAUUAAAAAUAACACGAAUUACAUAAUAUUUUUUUUACAUAAUACCCCCACUUUAAGCAUGUUAAUGCAUGCAUUAGAUCCAUUGCAUUACUAAUGUCAUAAAUUUUGAGGUAUUAGUAAUACACACCUCAAUACAUAAUAGAGUAUAUAACUAAUUUUUGCAUUAGUUAUACAUAAGAUAAAAAUAUAUAUAUCAAACCAGGGACUACUAAUACACAUUAAAUUAAUGGAUGCAUUAAUUUUUAUGUAAUACAUUCCAUGCUUUAUCAAAGAUUUGAUUAUUAUUCCUUGUCUUGAGCCGGGAGUCUAUCAGAAACAACUUUUCUACUUCUCUGGAGGUAGUGAUAUGGACUACAUACAUCUUACCCUCUCCAGACCCCACUAUGUGGAAAUACACUGAAUUUAUUGUUGUUGUUGUUAUUAAUUUUUUAAUACACUCUAUCAAAAGACUCCAUGCUUCUCAUUUAAUUAUACCUUUAGCUCCUCCUUAAUUAUGAUAAUUGCUCUCUGACUCCACCUUGNNNNNNNNNNNNNNNNNNNNNNNNNNNNNNNNNNNNNNNNNNNNNNNNNNNNNNNNNNNNNNNNNNNNNNNNNNNNNNNNNNNNNNNNNNNNNNNNNNNNNNNNNNNNNNNNNNNNNNNNNNNNNNNNNNNNNNNNNNNNNNNNNNNNNNNNNNNNNNNNNNNNNNNNNNNNNNNNNNNCAAAUAUUUAUAUAUUUUAAUUUUGAGUGUUGCACAAAUAAAUACUUAGACUAUCACAUAAAGUUAAAAUAAAUAUAUAUAUGCGAGUCUUGUAUUGCAAUUUUUCAUGCAAAAUAUGUGCAUCUCAUACAAUUUGUCAAGUAAUUAAAGCGUUUGUGUCUAGGGGAGUGCAUCGGUCGGUUCAGUUGGGUUUUACAUAAUAUCGUUAGAUUUAUCGAUUUUUGGUUUUUAAAUAUGCUAAACCAAUAACCAAACCAGUAAAAUAUUUUUUUUUGGUUUUUAGUCCUUAACGAUUCGGUUUUCGGUUUAACCGAUAAGAAAAUACUCAUAAAAUAGAAAUAGUAGUAACUAACAUGUAAAAAAUGAAUCUUAGUUGCCACAAAAAUCCUACAUGAAGUGUUUAAAUUUACAAAAACCUUCAAGUUUGAACUAAAUGUUGUUAUGAGAAAUUAAGAGUUUAUAUAAUGGAAAUAAUAGGUUUGUUAAUUUGUAGAAAUAAAAGAUAAAUAUAUAAUAAUUCAUAUAUAUAUUCUUAUUGGAUUAUCGGUUUACCCAAUAACCCAAUAAGAAAAAAUCAAACCAAACCAAUAACCCAAUAAUUUUUUGUAACACCCCAUACUUUUAGACUUGAAUGUAAAUUGUCAUUUCUACUUGUACACAUUCCAAAAAUCAUAAAUCUAUUGUGAAUAUAGUGUUUUAAUCAACUAUGUGGUGUAUAAAUCUAGUUGAGCAUGAAUUGAGAUCAUAGAGGUCCCCUAACUCAAGGACGAGUUGAAAGUUUUUCCAUCGAUUGAGUUUUAUUAAGCGUUAAAACUUGGGUCAACUUCAUUCGGUUAUUAAUCUUUGUAUAUAUUGAAUUAAAAUUCCUACUAUAUAUCAAAUGAAAGGCCUUCGAAUUAUCUUUCUAACGAUACCAAUUUUGCAAAAAUCCUACACCUGAGGAAGAAGUUAUGGCUUUGUAAAGUGAAGUGUGUCGUCCAGCAUAAGGUGUGCGCCGCACAACCUAAUGUGUGCGAUAAAGAGUGCGCCGCACAAUCUAUAUUAUGCGAUAAGGCGCACAACCUAUAUUAUGCGAUAAGGUGUGUGCCGCAUAUAUUAUUACUCAAGUGACUUAAACACUCUGUAUUUGGGGCAAAAUGAUCCCACCCUUAUUUAGACAUAAACACGAAAUUCAGUCCCUAAAUACCCCAAAAUACACCUUCAUUCAUCAAAAUUGCUCAAGAACUCUCCUUAGGGUUUCAAAAUAAAAACCCAAGCAACUCAAGAUUCAACCGUGGGUUUUUGAAACUAAUUGCAUAUUUGGAAUCCCCAGAACGUAGGCUUCAAGAAACACCUAUCAUCUUCUCAUAUAGCAGUAUGUGGGGUUAUGCUAAAAUCUCAUGGGCCUUUAAAUUCAUGUUUUACAAUGGGGGUUUUGAAACUAUGAAUAUAAUCAUGUUUUGAACAUUUCUAUAAUAUUGAUUUGGUUUUUAGGCCUAUUUCCAAAGUGAUUUGACAUAUUAUUUAUUUAUAUGCAUGUGUUUUUAAAAGGUAUUAAUUUGAGAGCAUGAAUUAUAUGGAAUCCCUCUCUUGAUAUGAAUUUGUUUUAAAUGUUCAUAUGAUGUAAAUUGUUUGAAAACAUCUUGAAAAGCAUGACAGGAAAUGUUUUGAGAAUUGAUAUGAUUUUGACUUGAAAACUAGAGGGCUAUUUAUGUUGAAACAUGUUGAAUACAAUGGUUGAAUGAGAAGAAUGAUGUGAUAUUAAUGGAUUAUAAGUUGGUUAUGAUGAUACCCUACAGAAUAUGAUAUGUGAUUGAAUCAGAUAAAAUUUGAAUGCAUUGAUUUUACAUAAGAUAGGUGGAUGCUCGAAGAAGGCGUUAGAGUGUAAGGAAUAAUCGCUGGAAACCGUGUUUGCCGACAUUAUGUACCUGAUUUUAUGUUAUUUCCAAGUUGGGACUAUGGUUAGGAGCCCUGCUUUGUGAUCUCGUGCACUACCAUUGGGUCGAGACACCCUGUUGUGUGAUCUUGUGUCUCUUCCCCUCACUUAUACUCAAAUCUCGGUGAGGUUUGACAGUUGGUGUAAAUGUGGUAUGUAGGGUAUUCCACCUAGCUCAGCUGCAUUACAUUGUUGUUGAAAAUAAUUAAAUUACACCCAUUUCAAAUGAUUUGAUAUGAAACUACUUUAUAAUGGAUCUCAACUAUAUUUUGUAAAAAUAUUAUGUUUUGUUUUGAUAUCUCUACAUACCAGUACUUUUGUAUUGACCCCCUUCCCUUCCAGGUUUGGAGGCAUAGUUAUGGGGUCCAGAAAAUUAGUAAAUUCCUCAGACAGAUUUGCAGAGUCACUUGGUGAGCCUUUUAUAUUUCGGAAGGCUUGAUAUCUGGUAGUUUCAUUUAUCAUUUAUUAGUUUUGGAUCUACUGGGGGCUUUGUCACAAUUUUCAGAUAGAUAUUUAUUUCAGUCAUGUAGUAGAGAUUUCGUAGACGUUAUAGAGAUGUUGUGUUGAGAUUGUGGAACAUUAUUCCCUGUUAUUGAUUUCAUAUGAUUCUUGACCAUGUUUCUGUAAUAUUUUUUAUCUUCCACAUUUCUAUUAUCAUAUGAGUUAUGUGCAUAAUUAUCAGACAAAUAGGGGUGUUUCAGGCCUUCAUGGUUUGGAAUGCUCAUCACGGCCAGGGCCCCAGUUCGGGUUGUGACAAAAUUGGUAUCAGAGCACGGUUCAUGGUCCCAGAGUGUCAACAAAAUCACGUUGGGUAGAGUCUUAUUUAUGGGUGUGUAGCACGCCACACUUAUAAGCAGGAGGCUACUAGGUGUUUAGGAAUGUCUCUCUUUCUUCAUGUUCCAGUUCGUACAAUAUAGUCAAAAUGUUCCUAUUUCAUACUGUCAUUCGUGCUAUGGUGUCGCCCAUAUGAAGGUAAAGUCAUCCCAAAUUCUUUCCUUACUCUGAUGUUCUCAGACAUAUCCCAUUAUUGGGGUGAUUCAAGUGCAAAAAGUUUAGAAUCUACAUGAUAUAGUCUUUUCCGAUUGUGUCCUAUAAGAAAAAAAAUUAUGCAAAAACUCUAAAGGAGUCUGUUGGUGCUUCAAUAUGUGUUGAUUCUGAUGUAAACAUUGAUCCUGAUGGAAUCGUGCUUUCUAGCUUAAGGUAUUAAGUGCAUCUAGUCCCUCCCAAAAAUCUAGAUAUAGGUGUUGACGGUGUAUAGCAGAAUGUUUGAACUGUAUUUCCACCCGAAUAGUAGCAUAAGUUAAAGUGUUGUUGUCAUGACCUAUCAGUAAUGACAUUAGACCAAGAAGUUAGUGAUGUGAAGUCAUAAAGCUAGAAGUCAUAGUGAGGGUGAUUUUUGGUGUAAAUGAAUAUUUCAGUUGAAUAACCGAUAUUUGAGGAUGGUUUACCCCUUUAUAGUGAUAAACUAAUGUGGUAGCUAGUAGCACGUGUGGAUGGUAUGGUAGUCCAUGGGGGAAGUAUUUUACUCAGAUUUUUAUUUAUACAGAGUAAGAUGUGUAUUCUUAGACCAUUAAACAUUGUGUCAAUUUCCUAUCUCUUGUAAUAUGUAAUCUUGUUAUCAUGGUGUUUUUGAAAAAAAAAAAUUUAAAGUCUAGUGAAGCCGUGUGGGGCUCUUUCGAUUCACUAGCAUAGUUGCCUUGUCAUCCAUCUUAUUUUCUUGUUCAAAAUACAAAACCAAAGUCUAGUGAAGCCGUGUGAGGCCUAUUUCGAUUCACUAGCAACUUGUUGUACUUUUGUUGGUUUAAUAUAUGUAUGGCUGAAUCUAUUUGCAUGAGAUGGAGUUGGUAAAGAGGUGAUUCGUCCUUGUGAGUUAGUUUAGUAUAAGGUAGAGAAGGAGUUGUUAGUCAGGGUGAUUUGUUGGUUGCUUGAAUGUGAAAAAUGGCUAUAUUAGCGAGUAAGUUAUGAUUAUAGACUCAUGGUUGUUUGAGGAAUUUGAAGGCAGUCUAAAUGUAUGCUUGAGUAAGUAAGUAUGAGGUGAGAAAUCCGCAUAAGUAGAUAAGAUCGUAUGGGGUUAUAAUAUCAAAUUAAGGUUGAUCAUGUCUAUUAUGUGACCUUACCUCUUGACUUUUUUCGUUGGUAGUUGUAAACUAGUACUACUUAUGAGAAGGUAUGUAACAAAUUAUGAGGUAUUUGGAUAGUCCUACAUGACUGGCAGAGAUUUUUUGAAGUUUUGCAGGAGUUCUCGAAACUAUUUUCUAAAAAAUUAAGACUACUUUGAAAAAAAUCUAUAUAAAUUUUUACUUAGUGAUUGCCUAGACAUCAAUUAGGACGGGGAGUCAGGGGUGGAAGUCCCAACAUGAUGAAAUACCUGAAAGAUGGCGAGGGCAAAUCAAGGAUCGUAGGAGGUUAAAACGGAGUAGUUUCUUUCAAACUAAUUAUUUUUUGUGGAUGCAGGGAUCAAUACACAAAAUGAGCAUUUCUUUCGAAAAAUCCCCAAGAAAGUCAGGAGCCAUGACAGAGCAUAUAAGGCUUAAUAAUGGUACUUUUGGUAGCCCAAAAACCGGCUCAAGACCCAUUUAUUGACGACCAUUCGAAUUGUCCAUCUCAUUUCUUGAGAUCAUGGAGGACAAACAAAAGUGUCUUGUCUUCUUUACAAAUAUUGUAUUUAAAUUUUUUCUAAAAAAAAUAGUCGCUAGCAAAAGCGACUUUGUGUCUACUAAUCGUCUACCUUGAGUACAGGUACAUGCAGAAAGCAAGACCCUGACAAAUAAUUUCAGGAGAAACUAUUUUUAAUUUAUCGGAAGAACCAUUGCCUCUCAUUGCCAAGAGGGCCAUUGCAUAUCAUCGUUACUCAAUAUCUGUUGACAUGCUAGACACAACGCUGACAUUGAGGAUAUCAUCAGCAUUCAAUAUAUCCAUUGACACGCAAGACACAACGCUAGCGUCGAGGAUAUCAUCAUUAUUCAAUAGCUAUUGACACGCUAGACACUACACUGGCGUUGAGGAUAUCAUCAGCAUUCAAUAUAUCUGUUGACACGCAAGACACAACGCUGGCGUUGAGGAUAUCAUCAUCAUUCAAUAUCUGUUAACGUGCUAGACAAUGCUGGCAUCGAGGAUAUCAUCAGCAUUCAAUAUAUCUGUUGAGACACAAGACACAAUGCUGGCGUCGAAGAUAUCAUCAUCAUUCAAUAUUUGUUGACGCACUAGACACAACGCUGGCAUCGAGGAUAUCAUCAUUAUUAUAUAUCUAUUGACACGCAAGACACAACGCUGGCGUUGAGGAUAUCAUCAUCAUGCAGUAUCUGUUGACAUGCAAUACACAACGUUGGCAUCAAGGAUAUCAUCAUUAUGCAAUAUCUGUUGACGCAUAAGACACGAUGCUGGCGUCGAGGAUAUCAUCAGCAUUUAAUAAAUCUUUUAACAUGCAAGACACAACACUGGCAUCGAGGAUAUCAUCAGCAUUCAAUAUAUCUGUUGACACGCAAGACACAAUGCUGGCGUCGAGGAUAUCAUUAUCAUUUUAUAUCUGUUGACAUACAAGACAUAAACGCUGACAUCGAGGAUAUCUUAUCAUUUUAUGAAUCAGCAUCUGAAUGCAUCGAGAGCACACGAUUUGAAGGGAUGCCUUUAAUUCGCUAUCUAAGGAUGAAUGAUAUAUAAGAUUUCCUAUAAAUUGACAAUUUGAGGGUCAUUUAUAAGUCAUAUUAUUUAAAAUAGGAUAGUGUGCAAGAUCACCUAUGAGUUGAUAGCCUGUAGGUCAUCCAUAAGCCACAACAAUAUCCUAACUGGAUAGUGUGGAAGAUCUCCCAAAAAUUGAUAGUUCAAAGGUUAUCCAUAAGUCGCAACUAAAUCUUUACUGAAGAAUAUGGAAGAUUAUCAAAUUGAUACGUCCAAGGGUUCUCUAUAAGCCGUGUCAUAUCCAAGAUCGAUUAUGUGCAGGAUUAUCCAAAGACUAAUAAUUUAAGGGAUUAUCUAUAAGUUAUAUUAUAUCCAAGGUUGGAUGAUGUGCAGGAACACCUGAAAGGUAGCGAUUGGAGGAACAUCUUUAAGCCAUCUCUUAUUCAAAGUCGGAUAAUGUGCAUGAUUACCUAAAAGGUAGAAAUCAAAAGGAUAUCUGUAAGUUGCCUUGUAUCCAACAUCAAAUAAUGCGUAAGAUUAUCCAAAGAUUGAUAAUUUAAAGAAAAUUUAUAAAUUGAUCAUCGGCUAUAACUGGAGAGUUUAUUGUUCCAUAUGCAACAAAUGAUAUAGGUACCCAAAGGGUUUCCACAUCAGCACAAGAUUACAAGGUUGUAGAGACCAUUCUGCAUAAAGUAUCGUCGGUGUCCAAAAGGGCCACCCACUUUGAAGACAUAUUCAACUGACAAAUGUCAGAAUUAUACAACAACCAAGAGGGUUGUUGUGUUUGGUAUUGACGGUUAUUUCAUUCCAAAAAGGUACAUGAAGAGAUGACUCUGCUUUUCAGGCCAUAACUCACGUAGAGAUAUGGUAAAAGACUGUGUACCUCUUUCGUGAAUUAUGUUUAGCAUGAACACUUUUUGCUUGAAGCAUUGUCGAGAGCAUCCUAGAGGAUGAAAUUCUCAAAUCAAAACCACAGGUGCGAAUGACUUCAAAUAGGACGCAGCACCUGAAUCCAACCCGUUUUCCUUUUCCUCUUUAUAUUCAUGCGCGUUUCACGCGAAUCCAUACGAGAAGAUACAGAGAAUCUUCUAGAAACACACUUAGGUGUCUCAUCCAACGUUCAAAUCCCAAAAUUCUCAGAUAGAGGUUUACGAAUUCGUACAUAGGUGGAGUAUUUUCAUUGGCUUGUGAAGAUUAUUUCCUUUCCACCAAUUUUGUAUUGGCCACUUUUUGGAAUUCCGUUCAAGAAAAUCAAAAUAGAGGUACAGUUCAUUAGGGUCCGGAUCUUUCGAAUUUCAAAAAUGAACCCUCAAUCCCAUUCUAUAAGUAGCUCUCUUUAGAGCAAGAAAAAGGGAUUUUUUUAGGGAUUUUGGAAUCUUGUUUCACUUGUCUCUCUUUUCCUUUGUGGGUUCUCCUCUUCUUUCUCUUUGGAGUUCGAAAUUUUAGAGGCAAAGGGGGUUCAAAAGUUUUGGGUUGAAAAUUUGGGGUUAGAGAACAUCUUCAAAAAUUCAGAAAUACACAAAAAUGGGGUUAGAAAGGGGGGCUCUCAGAGGGAAAAAAUAUUCUCUUUAUGCCUAAGAAACAUACAUUUUUAGGGGGUGCGUCUGAACUGUCAAAGAAGUUGUGAGUUUUUUGGUGGUCGAAAUCCUAUCGUCAGCUCGUUAUCCCAUUUUGCUGCCCCAAAAGAGGUAAAUACACAUUUCUUUUUAAUUUUGUUAUGGUUAUCAUUUUCUUCUUCGUGGUUCCACUUUUGUUUGCUGGGAAUGACUGCUGUAGAGGCCUGGAAGGCAUAGGAUUUUUGUGUUUGAUAUAUUGUUCUACUAAAAAACUCAUUCUUGCCCAUGUUUGAUUGGUUGUCGUUCAUGCUUGAUCUCUCUCAUUUUAUUCUGUCUGAAUGUUACUAGUUAGCUUUAAUUCUUCAACUUUAGAAACUAUUUUGCUGGUCUCAUAUUUGAUGUUGCUUUGUAGUUCAUAGAGUAGGAGAAUAAAAUCUUUAUGUACUUUCGAAAUUCAAAAAAAUUUUCAAAGAAUAGAUAUUAGGCAGCGUGUUUGCAUAUCUUUUUCGCUCAAACGCAGGAAAUUGUAAUAAAUAAGAACUCGAAUGUUAUUUUCUUCCGACUUGCCACUCUCGAUGUACAAUAGUCUAAUUUGAUUCGAAAGUUUACUUUGAAGGAAUAGGAUUUUCAUAUUUGAUAUAUUGUUCUACUAAAAAACUCAUUCUUGCCCGUGUUUGAUUGGCUGUCGUUCAUGCUUGAUCUCUCUCAUUUUAUUCUCUCAUUUUAUUCUGUCUGAAUGUUACUAGUUAGCUUUAAUGCUUCGACUUUAGAAACUAUUUUGCUGGUCUCAUAUAAUAUGUUGCUUUGUAGUUCAUAGAGUAGGAGAAUAAAAUCUUUAUGUAUUUUCGAAACUCGAAAAAAUGUUCAAAGAAUAGAUAUUAGGCACCCUGUUCGCAUAUCUUUUUCGCUCAAACACAGGAAAUUUUUAUAAAUAAGAACUCGAAUGUUAUUUUCUUCCGACUUGCCACUCUCGAUGUACUAUAGUCUCAUUUGAUUCUAAAGUUUAUUUUAAAAUAUGAGAGUGGACCAUAGGGCUGAAUUAUGUUUUCUUCAUGGCUAAUUCAAUUUGUUGUAAUUGACUCAUGAGAACAAAUUAAAGUUUGAAGGGCUAAUGUUUCUUUCCUUUCUUGCUUUUCUUGUUCGCAUAUAAGUUGUGGCAUCUUGUCUCAUGAUUAAAUUACCUAAAAUUGGGUUUAUGUAGUGUUUAAAUCUCAUUUGUUUGUUAACCCAGUGGUAACGAAGGCAUUAAGAUUUCAGCCUUGCUUUUCUUGAAGUUUCAGCUAUCGUAUUCCUUGCCUAAAGUGAUUAAGUCCUUAAUUUUGUAUGUUUGGCAUUCUGGAAUUUGAACGUUGCUUGUGAUCCAUCGUUUAUGUAGUAUGAUCCAGGAGUUGUAACUCUUUUUUGUGACAUACUUAAUUGGGUCCUUUUGUGGCAUUAAAGUGAUAAAUUAUUUUCUUUAUUUCGCUAAAGACCAUAAGAAAUUUCUUGUUGAAGCUUUAUUUCAACCUGUAGUUGAAGAGGGGGCGACCCUAUUGGAGUUUGCGAGGGCGUUUGGGCUGGUGGUGGUGAACUCGGGCUUCCCGAAGAAGGACGAGCACCUGAUCACUUUUCGGAGCGCGAUAGCCAGGACCCAGAUUGACUUUUUGUUGCUUAGGAAAGGGGAUAGGGCGUUGUGUAAGGACUGUAAAGUCAUCCCGAGUGAGAAUCUCUCGACCCAACAUAGGCUUUUGAUUAUGGAUUUGGGUAUAAAGAAGAAUAGAAAGAGGAGGAGUAAGGAGUGUAGACCGAGAAUUAAGUGGGGCGGCUUGACGCCAGUGAAUGCGUGGGAGAUAGGGGAGAGGUUGGCGGGAAAGGGGGUGUGGGAGUGUAGGGGGGACGUGGAUAGUAUGUGGGACAGGGCGGCAAGGUGCAUCAGGGAGAAUGCAAGGGAGGUGUUGGGUGUUUCUAGGGGCCGGGCCGGUCACCAUCGGGGGGAUUGGUGGUGGAAUGAAGAGGUGGAGAAGAAAGUGGAGACCAAGAAAGAGGCGUAUGCUAAGUUGGUGGAAAGUAAGGACGAAGAAGAGAAGCGGGUAAACAGGAAAGAGUACAAGCUAGCGAGGAAGGAGGCGAAGUCAGCGGUCACGGCAGCUAAGACGGCCGCUUUUGAGAGCUUGUAUGCAGGGUUACAGGGGAAAGGAGGGGAGAAAAAGUUGUUUAGACUCGCUAAGGCUAGGGAGAGGAAGGGUCGUGACCUCGAUCAGGUGAGGUGCAUUAAGGGGGAGGACGGUAGAGUGUUGGUGGAGGACGGCCACAUAAAGAAGAGAUGGCAGUCGUACUUUCAUAGGCUCUUGAAUGACGAGGGGGACAGAGCUAUUGUGUUAGGGGAACUGGAGCACUCAGAGGAGUGUCGGGAUUUUAGCUAUUGUAGACGUUUUAAGGUAGACGAGGUUAGACAGGCAGUCCGCAGGAUGCGAAGGGGUAGGGCGACGGGGCCGGAUGAGAUACCGGUGGAGUUUUGGAAGUUCGUUGGAGAGGCUGGUGUAAGGUGGUUGACUGCAUUGUUCAAUGAAAUUUUCAGGACGGCAAAGAUGCCCGAGGCGUGGAGGUGGAGUACCAUGAUCCCCCUCUAUAAGAAUAAGGGGGACAUUCAGUGUUGCAAUAACUAUAGGGGGAUUAAGUUACUGAGUCACUCUAUGAAGAUCUGGGAGAGAGUGGUCGAGGUGAGGCUGAGACGGAUAGUGUCUAUCUCGGAAAACCAGUUCGGAUUUAUGCCCGGCCGCUCGACGACGGAGGCAAUUCACCUGGUACGGCGGUUGGUGGAGCAAUAUAGGGAAAGGAAGAAGGAUUUGCACAUGGUGUUCAUCGACCUAGAAAAGGCGUACGACAAAGUCCCCAGGGAGGUGCUUUGGAGAUGCUUGGAGGUGAGUGGAGUACCGCAGGCAUAUAGAAUUCUGUUCAAGAAAAUCAAAAUAGAGGUACAGUUCUUUAGGGUCCGGAUCUUUUGAAUUUCAAAAAGGAACCCUCAAUCCCCUUCUAUAGGUAGCUCUCUUUAGAGCAAGAAAAAGGGAUUUUUGGGGGGAUUUUGGAAUUUUUUUUCACUGACCUCUCCUUUCCUUUAUAGGUUCUCUUCUUUCUCUUUGGAAUUCGAAAUUUUAGAGACAAAAGGGGUUCAAAAGUUUUGGGUUGAAAAUUUGGGGUUAGAGAAAAUCUUCAAAAAUUUAGAAAUACACAAAAAAAAAAAAGGUUAGAAAAGGGGGGCUCUCAGAGGGAAAAAAUAUUCUCUUUACGCCUAAGAAACAUACAUUCUUAGGAGGUACGUCUGAACUGUCGAAGCAGUUGUGAGUUUUUCGGUGGUCGGAAUCCUAUCGUCAGCACGUUAUCCCAUUUUGCUGCCCCGAAAGAGGUAAAUAUACCUUUCUUUUUAAUUUUGUUGUGGUUAUCAUUUUCUUCUUCGUGGUUCCACUUCUGUUUGCUGGGAAUGACUGUUGUAGAGGCUUGGAAGGAAUAGGAUUUUCAUAUUUGAUAUAUUGUUCUACUAAAAAACUCAUUCUUGCCCGUGUUUGAUUGGCUGUCGUUCAUGCUUGAUCUCUCUCAUUUUAUUCUCUCAUUUUAUUCUGUCUGAAUGUUACUAGUUAGCUUUAAUGCUUCGACUUUAGAAACUAUUUUGCUGGUCUCAUAUAAUAUGUUGCUUUGUAGUUCAUAGAGUAGGAGAAUAAAAUCUUUAUGUAUUUUCGAAACUCGAAAAAAUGUUCAAAGAAUAGAUAUUAGGCACCCUGUUCGCAUAUCUUUUUCGCUCAAACACAGGAAAUUUUUAUAAAUAAGAACUCGAAUGUUAUUUUCUUCCGACUUGCCACUCUCGAUGUACUAUAGUCUCAUUUGAUUCUAAAGUUUAUUUUAAAAUAUGAGAGUGGACCAUAGGGCUGAAUUAUGUUUUCUUCAUGGCUAAUUCAAUUUGUUGUAAUUGACUCAUGAGAACAAAUUAAAGUUUGAAGGGCUAAUGUUUCUUUCCUUUCUUGCUUUUCUUGUUCGCAUAUAAGUUGUGGCAUCUUGUCUCAUGAUUAAAUUACCUAAAAUUGGGUUUAUGUAGUGUUUAAAUCUCAUUUGUUUGUUAACCCAGUGGUAACGAAGGCAUUAAGAUUUCAGCCUUGCUUUUCUUGAAGUUUCAGCUAUCGUAUUCCUUGCCUAAAGUGAUUAAGUCCUUAAUUUUGUAUGUUUGGCAUUCUGGAAUUUGAACGUUGCUUGUGAUCCAUUGUUUAUGUAGUAUGAUCCAGGAGUUGUAACUCUUUUUUGUGACAUGCUUAAUUGGGUCCUUUUGUGGCAUUAAAGUGAUAAAUUAUUUUCUUUAUUUUGCUAAAGACCAUAAGAAUUUCUUGUUGAAUCUUUAUUUCCUCCUGUAGUUGAAAUUUCUUUAAUUAAUUAUGAAUAGUUUCUUCAAACAUUAUAGACUUUUGCUCCUGUGGCAUUUUUACCUGUGUAUGAGUGUAUUUGAAUGAAGCAGGAAUGCUAUAGCUUAUUAAUUGUUAAAAUCUUGGACGUAUGUUAAUUUCUUCAUUCCUUUCUUUGCAUGCACCCCCCUUGGAAUUCAAAUGGGCCCCUUCUCUCUUUGCAUUUCAUAAAUGGGCCAAUGAGGCCUAUCCUUCCGAGUUAAGCCAAAAAGAAAAUCCAAGAAUCCAUCGCAUGGCGUAUGGAUACGAGGAAUUGAAAGAAGAAUGGGUUAAAGUUCCAUCUUUGAAGCGGCAAACGGGACUUGAAAAUCUAGUUAUUUCUUCUUUAUUGAUUUAUUUAUCCAUUGUUUCCAUUAUUUAUUUAUUUACUUAUUUAUAUUUUU
rnacentral:lncRNA from 1 species